GGCGCGGGGCUCCGGGAGAGCGGGAUCGGCGCGGCGGAGAGCCGCUCGCUUCCCCUGCCUGCCCCGAGGGAGGUGCAGAGCCCCGCUCAGACAGGCGCCUCGAACACAAUAGCGUUUAUUAAACAAAGAAAAUGCCUCUGGGAAGAAUGGGAGGGAGGGAGAGCAGCAAUUGGGAGGGGGAGAAGGGUCUGGAAGUGAUCAGGAUGGAGCAGCCAGCCGGAGCAGCUCGCCCCGGCAGCCGCCGGCCGGAGGAGCCAGCCCCGAGUCCCGGCGGGGCUGGGGGUGUUCCCUGCCCGCGCCCCGGGGGUGCGAGAGGCACCCGCGUCCCCUCCGCAGGCACCGGGGAGGGGGGCGGCGCUGGCAGCCCAUAGGACCUGUCGCUCCCGGCAGCCAGUCAAAGGCUGGCUUAGCUGUCACGACAACUGCGGCUUUUGAAACGAUGCCGUGAACCUGCCAUCAGAAAGACAGCCGCAGACGGAUGUCUUGCAUCUUCUCAUCACUUGUUCAAGAUUGCCUAGCUCUGGACCAGCAGAAAGGAUUGUGCACCAAGUCUGGAUUUCUCCAGCAGCAGGGCUGCAAAUAAGUUUCUAUCAGAGACAAACCUGCAAUUUCUUCCUUUGCCGCUCUUUUUGCUGUUGUAUAUGUGUGCUCUUGUUUUGCCCUAAAAGAAAAGAAAAAAUGGAGAAAACAUAAUAGGAUUCCAGUGCCUGUAGCUCUAGCAGCAGUACUAAUGUGUUCUUCCCUAAAAAGAGAAAACAAAUUCUUAUACCAUUUAAAGAUGUCAGAAGCCUUUCCACAUUAAAAAAGCCUGUUGACAAAGGGAUAAAGUGAUUAUUUAAUGAAA